AUGAACGCUGGCGGCGUGCCUAAUACAUGCAAGUAGAACGCUGAAGGAGGAGCUUGCUCUUUCCGGAUGAGUUGCGAACGGGUGAGUAACGCGUAGGUAACCUGCCUGGUAGCGGGGGAUAACUAUUGGAAACGAUAGCUAAUACCGCAUAACAGUAGAUAUUGCAUGAUAUUUGCUUGAAAGGGGCAAUUGCUCCACUACCAGAUGGACCUGCGUUGUAUUAGCUAGUUGGUGAGGUAACGGCUCACCAAGGCGACGAUACAUAGCCGACCUGAGAGGGUGAUUGGCCACACUGGGACUGAGACACGGCCCAGACUCCUACGGGAGGCAGCAGUAGGGAAUCUUCGGCAAUGGACGGAAGUCUGACCGAGCAACGCCGCGUGAGUGAAGAAGGUUUUCGGAUCGUAAAGCUCUGUUGUAAGAGAAGAACGAGUGUGAGAGUGGAAAGUUCACACUGUGACGGUAUCUUACCAGAAAGGGACGGCUAACUACGUG
rnacentral:rRNA from 1 species